UACGUAGGGUGCAAGCGUUGUCCGGAAUUAUUGGGCGUAAAGGGCUCGUAGGCGGUCCAUCGCGUCGGGGAGUGAAAAGCUGGGGCUCAACCCCAGUCCUGCUUUCGAUACGGGUGGACUAGAGGUAGGCAGGGGAGAACGGAAUUCCUGGUGUAGCGGUGAAAUGCGCAGAUAUCAGGAGGAACACCGAUGGCGAAGGCAGGUCUCUGGGCCACUACUGACGCUGAGAAGCGAAAGCAUGGGGAGCGAACAGG
rnacentral:rRNA from 1 species